rnacentral:rRNA from 1 species
UACGUAGGUGGCAAGCGUUGUCCGGAUUUACUGGGUGUAAAGGGCGUGUAGGCGGAGAUGCAAGUCAGAUGUGAAAUCCUCGGGCUUAACCCGGGAACUGCAUUUGAAACUGUAUCCCUUGAGUAUCGGAGAGGCAGGCGGAAUUCCUAGUGUAGCGGUGAAAUGCGUAGAUAUUAGGAGGAACACCAGUGGCGAAGGCGGCCUGCUGGACGACAACUGACGCUGAGGCGCGAAAGCGUGGGGAGCAAACAGG